rnacentral:rRNA from 1 species
AUUGAACGCUGGCGGCAUGCUUUACACAUGCAAGUCGAACGGCAGCGCGGGCUUCGGCCUGGCGGCGAGUGGCGAACGGGUGAGUAAUGCAUCGGAACGUGCCCAGUAGUGGGGGAUAGCCCGGCAAAAGCCGGAUUAAUACCGCAUACGACCUGAGGGUGAAAGCGGGGGACCGAAAGGCCUCGCGCUAUUGGAGCGGCCGAUGUCGGAUUAGCUAGUUGGUGGGGUAAAGGCUUACCAAGGCGACGAUCCGUAGCUGGUCUGAGAGGACGACCAGCCACACUGGGACUGAGACACGGCCCAGACUCCUACGGGAGGCAGCAGUGGGGAAUUUUGGACAAUGGGGGCAACCCUGAUCCAGCCAUGCCGCGUGCGGGAAGAAGGCCUUCGGGUUGUAAACCGCUUUUGUUCGGGAAGAAAUCCUCUGGGCUAAUACCCCGGGGGGAUGACGGUACCGGAAGAAUAAGCACCGGCUAACUACGUG